rnacentral:tRNA from 1 species
GGGGACUUAGCUCAGUGGCAGAGCGCUUGCCUAGCAAGCACAAGGCCCUGGGUUCGGUCCCCAGCUCUG